rfam:Ricinus communis cultivar Hale ctg_1100012342789, whole genome shotgun sequence.
AAACUAUGGUGAGGACAUCUACUUUACAAUUCUUUAGACCUUUUCCAAGCUUCAUAAAAUGAACCAUCAUCCUUUUGGUAAAAACUAGCAAUCUGCUGUCUGAUUU